rnacentral:lncRNA from 10 species
UCAAAUCCCUGCAGGGGGAGACCAGCAGCCCCGACUUCAGCCGCCAUGCCUCCUGCCUGAGAAGCUAGCUGCGAAGGUUCCAGAAGGAGACUGCCCUCCGGGAACAGAAACAGCGCAUGACUGCGACCUGUCUGCAAAAAUCUUGAUCACUUGUAAAUCCUUCUCCACCUGAUAAGUUAUCACAUUGGCUCAUGAUGUUUUUUUUCAUUCUCACCCUAUGGCGUGGAUGCUGUUACUACCCCAUUUUACAAAGGAGUAAAGUGAGGCCCAGAGAGAACAGUUAAAUCACUUCCCCAGCUUCACUCAACUCAUCUACGGUGAGUCGACGGUACACAUGCCCUUCCACAACACAAAGGUCUCCACUUUGCCACGUGUCACUCUGAUGGUUCCAGGUGCAGAUUUUGCGUCUGCUUCUUGACUUCUAAUGGCUGCACCAUUUUGCAUUGGAUGGUUAUACCAUCAUUUAUUUGACUCAUCUCCUGUGCACAAGCAUCUAGUUUAUCUGCAAACUUUUGCUACCAAAAACAAUGCUGCAAUGAAUAAAUAAGCUGAUGCCUGCUUCUA